rnacentral:piRNA from 1 species
UCACAGUGGGCUUACUAAUCUGUGCAGGGC